rnacentral:lncRNA from 1 species
UGGGCUGCAGGGGGACAGCCUGCUCCACCAGGGGCCUCUCCACAGGCCGCAGGGGAACUGCUGCUGCGUGCCUGGAGCACCUCCUGCCCUCCUGCUGCACUCACCUGGGGGGCUGCAGGGAUGGUUCUCACUCCUCUCUCCCAGCCGCUGUUGCACAGCAGAUUUUUUUCCCUUUCUUAAAACUGCUCUGCCAGAGGUGCAAAGAACAUCGCUUAUUAGUUUGGCUACGGACAGCAGUGGGUCCCUUUUGGAGCCAGCUGAAACUGGCCCUUAUCUAACAUGGGGCAGCUUCUGGACUCUUCUCACAGAGGCCACCCCUGCAUCCUCGUGCUACCAAAACCUUGCCACAUAAACCCACUACAUAUGCACAAGUUGUUACAGGGUAGUAUGAAACAGAUUCCUUGUUUCAGAUCCUUUAAAUAAGUCUGGGAGUUCUCACAUACUUCAUGAAUCAAGGCUUAGCUUGAUGUUGUGAAUAGAAAUUUGUCCAAAAUCUGUGUUUUAUCUUCAUUUGAGGUGUACUUGGGUAUGUCAGUCCUCAGUUUGUUUGUAAAAUAAGUUUUUAGAGGUAAAGCCAUUAAUGUCAUUGAGGACAUUUCCCCAUGCACACCAUCCCACAGAGCAAGAGAGAAACUUGAUGAAUAGUGAAUGUCUGGGAACAUGGAACCUAGUGUACCAGGAACACUGGAAAGCAAAGGAGUUGGAGCAAAUUGGGAAAAAGGCACCACUGCUAUUAAAAAACACAGACUUGAGCAAAGAGAAGCAGUGAUAACCAGUGGAUUAUCUGCACUGGCAUCAUCUUAAACAGUAAAUGCUUUUCCGCAACCUCCAAGGGAAAACAGUCAUUUUAAUGCUUUUGCAGCUCUUUGUGACUCCAUGCAAUGACAAGGUGGAAUGUGCCUGCUUUCCAAUUUCUGAGAUGCUGAGAUGCCCGCUUAAACUCAUCAGAGUAUUGGAUUCUCUUCUGAACUUUGUAUCCAAACUUAUAAAUGAUUGUAGAGACUUCUUCCAUUAGAACUGCGACUAAGAAGCAGGCUGGAAUUCAAUUCUCCCCAAGAAAGUUUGUUUUCCUAGAAAUUACAUUUUGAAAUACCAAAACAGUGAAAUAUUGAAAUAGUAAUUUAUUGGACAUGUUUA